UACGUAGGGGCCUAGCGUUGUCCGGAAUUAUUGGGCGUAAAGAGCUCGUAGGCGGUUCGGCAAGUCGGAUGUGAAAUCUCCACGCUUAACGUGGAGGGGCCAUUCGAAACUGCUGUGACUCGAGUCCGGUAGGGGAGUGUGGAAUUCCCGGUGUAGCGGUGAAAUGCGUAGAGAUCGGGAGGAACACCAGAGGCGAAGGCGGCGACCUGGACAGGCACUGACACUCAACUACGAAAGCGUGGGGAGCAAACAGG
rnacentral:rRNA from 1 species